UUCUCCCACCUCUGAUUAGAACCGGACAGAGCAGAUUGCACUGAACAAGCUCUUGUGAAAUGAUUGAUAUCGUGUCACGUAAACUCCUCCUACGACAUUAUAUGAUGUGAUGUAAACCUCCUCGGCCUAAAGACUCCUUCAGUUCCUGUUUUGCAGCAAAGACUCUCGAACUGUGGAGUCGGAGGGUCUAUUUCUGAAGAGCUCAAACCCAGGAGGAUGUGGCCUCUGAAUGGUUUCCCUCUGCUCUGCUGUGCUUGAUCUGGGAUGAUACAGGACACUGAUGACUGCAGCAGAUUGGCCUUUUCCUGUUUUGACGAGCCCAGGUGACCCCAGCUCUCCAGUUCUGUCACUGAACACAUUAUUCAACGACACAUCCAACACAGCUGGGCACAAUCGCUGCUUCCUAAUGCACAUCGACAUCCUGGAAGCCACAUAGGAGGAAACGCUUCUUUCUUAUCAAGAGCAGAAGAAGAUGAUGAUGAAGAUGGAGUCGAGCUCGUGCACGGAGGAUCGGAUCCAGCAUGUCCUCGAGCGCUGCCUCUGUGGUCUGGGCAUCGACACUCCGGAUAAACAACUCU